GACGUAGUAGUAAUAUUGACUGUUGUCUAUUGAGUUGCCUACUGUUUGCCUUAGAAGGAGUUGAGUCUUCAGCCAUCUUGUUUCUUCCGCUAUUCAUCUUAUAAAGAAUGUCUCGUGAAACUAGGAUCUACGUAGGGAAUUUACCUCCAGAUAUUCGUACUAAGGAUAUCGAGGACUUAUUUUACAAGUAUGGGAAAAUCGUAUUCAUCGACCUUAAGAAUCGUCGUGGUCCGCCAUUUGCCUUCGUGGAAUUUGAGGAUCACCGGGAUGCGGAUGAUGCGGUCUACGCUCGGGACGGGUAUGACUAUGAUGGAUACAAACUGAGAGUGGAGUUUCCACGUGGUGGUGGAGGGUCCUUCCGGGGGCGAAGUGGAGGCAGAGGGGACGGUGCGAGUGGAGGAAGCAGCAGAGACGGAGGACGGAAUCGGGGGCCUCCCACGAGACGAUCCCAAUUCCGAGUCGUUGUUUCUGGUCUGCCGCCGAGCGGGAGUUGGCAAGAUUUAAAGGAUCACAUGCGAGAAGCGGGCGACGUGUGCUUUGCGGAUGUGUACAAGGAUGGAACGGGUGCAUGUGAAUAUUUGAGAUAUGAGGACAUGAAAUACGCUAUCAAAAAGUUAAAUGAUACCAAAUUUAAGUCUCACGAGGGUGAGACAUCUUAUGUUAGAAUAAAAGAAGACUAUGGAGGAGGUGAUCGAAGUCGUAGCAGAUCGAGAAGUCGUAGUAGAACACCUAAAAGGCGGAGAGGGUCUCCUACAUAUUCGCCUGUCCAUCGUGAAAGGAGUUUCUCCAAUUCGAGAUCUAGGUCUCGCUCUGGGUCGCGCACAUGAUUAAAUUAUAUCUGAAGUUUUCACAAUUGUACAGACGGAUUGUUUUGGCUAUACAAAAAGCAUCAUUCGAAAUGUUCAUAAGGAGUCUUUCACUCCAGGAUUAAGGACGGGAUUCUUAGGGGAUAUUAAUUGAAAUCGGGAUUUCCAUUCUGAAGCCCAGGAGAUUCGGAUCAGUCACCUCGGGAUUCAGGACGGAAUAUUUAUCAUUUCUAGAACAGGAUUUCAUUCUGAACAUAGGAUAUUUGGAUUUAUAACUGGAUUUUAUCAUAGUAUUUUGAGUACAUAAAAGGAUUUUUUUUUUUAAAUCGGGAUCUGCCAGGAUCAACAUAAUUAAGGAUUAUCGGGAUUGACUUACAUUCAGUUUAAAUUAUUUUCAAUAAGACAAUUCUAUGAUCAGUUCCAGUUAGCACACUCUAAUGGUUUCAAUUAAUCUAAUUGGAUAUACAUAUGUGAAUAAGUGAUGCUUGGUUUUAUUUGUUACUUAAUGAAACCCAAAUUUUAGUAAAAUGGAAAUAAAGUUUAAAAUAUACAUUAAAUGUUAAUGAACACUUCCACCUAGCACGGCCAUCUCUAUCGAAAAGGAUUGACCAAGAUUCGCAAUUUUAAUUAUCUAAUUGGAAAAUGUUCUUCGUUAACUAAUUUGACGGCUCAUCUAUUGAAUUGAAGAGGCCAGAACUAUUUGCGCCCUAUUCUCAAAUAAUAAAACUUUUCAGAUUGUAAA
rnacentral:misc_RNA from 1 species